ACGGGGCCCGCACAAGCGGUGGAGCAUGUGGUUUAAUUCGACGCAACGCGCAGAACCUUACCUGGGCUUGACAUCUGCGGAAUCUUCGUGAAAGCGAGGAGUGCCUUCGGGAGCCGCAAGACAGGUGGUGCAUGGUUGUCGUCAGCUCGUGUCGUGAGAUGUUGGGUUAAGUCCCGCAACGAGCGCAACCCUCGCCUCUAGUUGCCAGCAUUCGGUUGGGCACUCUAGAGGGACUGCCGGCGACAAGUCGGAGAAGUGGGGAUGACGUCAAAUCAUCAUGCCCCUUAUGUUCUGGGCUACACACGUGCUACAAUGGCCGGUACAGACGGAGGCGAAGCCGCGAGGCGGAGCAAAACCGAAAAAGCCGGUCUCAGUUCGGAUUGCAGGCUGCAAUUCGCCUGCAUGAAGUCGGAAUCGCUAGUAAUCGCAGGUCAGCAUACUGCGGUGAAUACGUUCCCGGGCCUU
rnacentral:rRNA from 1 species